UCCAGAGUUCUUCCAAACCCUGGAAGCGC
rnacentral:sRNA from 1 species